GACGAACGCUGGCGGCGUGCUUAACACAUGCAUUUCGAACGGAAAGGCCCUGCUUUUGUGGGGUGCUCGAGUGGCGAACGGGUGAGUAACACGUGAGUAACCUGCCCUUGACUUUGGGAUAACUUCAGGAAACUGGGGCUAAUACCGGAUAGGAGCUCCUGCUGCAUGGUGGGGGUUGGAAAGUUCCGGCGGUUGGGGAUGGACUCGCGGCUUAUCAGCUUGUUGGUGGGGUAGUGGCUUACCAAGGCUUUGACGGGUAGCCGGCCUGAGAGGGUGACCGGCCACAUUGGGACUGAGAUACGGCCCAGACUCCUACGGGAGGCAGCAGUGGGGAAUAUUGCACAAUGGGCGGAAGCCUGAUGCAGCAACGCCGCGUGCGGGAUGACGGCCUUCGGGUUGUAAACCGCUUUCGCCUGUGACGAAGCGUGAGUGACGGUAAUGGGUAAAGAAGCACCGGCUAACUACGUGCCAGCAGCCGCGGUGAUACGUAGGGUGCGAGCGUUGUCCGGAUUUAUUGGGCGUAAAGGGCUCGUAGGUGGUUGAUCGCGUCGGAAGUGUAAUCUUGGGGCUUAACCCUGAGCGUGCUUUCGAUACGGGUUGACUUGAGGAAGGUAGGGGAGAAUGGAAUUCCUGGUGGAGCGGUGGAAUGCGCAGAUAUCAGGAGGAACACCAGUGGCGAAGGCGGUUCUCUGGGCCUUUCCUGACGCUGAGGAGCGAAAGCGUGGGGAGCGAACAGGCUUAGAUACCCUGGUAGUCCACGCUGUAAACGGUGGGUACUAGGUGUGGGGUCCAUUCCACGGGUUCCGUGCCGUAGCUAACGCUUUAAGUACCCCGCCUGGGGAGUACGGCCGCAAGGCUAAAACUCAAAGGAAUUGACGGGGCCCCGCACAAGCGGCGGAGCAUGCGGAUUAAUUCGAUGCAACGCGUAGAACCUUACCUGGGUUUGACAUGGAUCGGGAGUGCUCAGAGAUGGGUGUGCCUCUUUUGGGGUCGGUUCACAGGUGGUGCAUGGCUGUCGUCAGCUCGUGUCGUGAGAUGUUGGGUUAAGUCCCGCAACGAGCGCAACCCUUGUUCACUGUUGCCAGCACGUUAUGGUGGGGACUCAGUGGAGACCGCCGGGGUCAACUCGGAGGAAGGUGGGGAUGACGUCAAGUCACCAUGCCCCUUAUGUCCAGGGCUUCACGCAUGCUACAAUGGCUGGUACAGAGAGUGGCGAGCCUGUGAGGGUGAGCGAAUCUCGGAAAGCCGGUCUCAGUUCGGAUUGGGGUCUGCAACUCGACCUCAUGAAGUCGGAGUCGCUAGUAAUCGCAGAUCAGCAACGCUGCGGUGAAUACGUUCCCGGGGCU
rnacentral:rRNA from 1 species